AUUGAACGCUGGCGGCAGGCUUAACACAUGCAAGUCGAGCGGGGGGAGGUAGCUUGCUACCUAACCUAGCGGCGGACGGGUGAGUAAUGCUUAGGAAUCUGCCUAUUAGUGGGGGACAACAUUUCGAAAGGGAUGCUAAUACCGCAUACGCCCUAAGGGGGAAAGCAGGGGAUCUUCGGACCUUGCGCUAAUAGAUGAGCCUAAGUCGGAUUAGCUAGUUGGUGGGGUAAAGGCCUACCAAGGCGACGAUCUGUAGCGGGUCUGAGAGGAUGAUCAUCCACACUGGGACUGGUACAGGUCCCAGACUCGUACGGAAGGCAGCAGUGGGGAAUAUUGGACAAUGGGGGGAACCCUGAUCCAGCAAUGCCGCGUGUGUGAAGAAGGCCUUUUGGUUGUAAAGCACUUUAAGCGAGGAGGAGGCUACCGAGAUUAAUACUCUUGGAUGGUGGACGUUACUCGCAGAAUAAGCACCGGCUAACUCUGUGCCAGCAGCCGCCGUAAGAC
rnacentral:rRNA from 1 species